CAACCACCGUGGCACAAAUACAGGUUCUCAUCUUACAACACAGACACAUCAUUUGUCAAGAACUGUUCACAAAAGCUGUUACCAACAUUUCUAGCCAAGAAAUGGGACAAGCAGAGAUACCCAAGAACUGUUUUGUGUACUGACAACCUCUGAUGGGAAGGGAGAUACAAAGUCUAGAAGAUUCUGAGCCUCCUGUUUCAGCUCCCUAGUAAUUAUGAAGGCUCUCUGGCUCACCAUUCAACCACCUUUGAGGUGCUUUGACUGCAAGGUUGCUGGAAGUGAAUCUCCUUGGCCGAUUACUUUUCUGGAUUGUUUGCUACCUGAGCACUUGAUGGCAAGCCUUGAAGCUGAACUGGAAGAAGAGGACUUCAUGCUAUUAAAUGCAAGAGAAUAGGCACUUACAGAAAUCUAGCUCCAGAAUUCCCUGACAGGGAACGAAGCCAUGCAGUGAUGAAUGUAAUCAGGCAAGCUGGAAAAAAGCCAGGUUAUUUUUUCCCCCAUCAGAAAUCUGCUGGGUUUUGAAAAAUGUUUUCUUGAUAUCGACAUGUUUCAAGUCAGUGCAUCUGAGCUUCUUAAGUUAAAAGAUGUCCCACCAGCAAAUUUCUGGAAGGAAGAUAGCAAUUUAACUCAUUAAUAGAGUGUAAACUUUAGGGAUUUAAUUUUAAAACCAAUCUACUCUUUAAAAAUAAAUAUUUUAUGAGUUGUAACAGCUCUCAGGGAAGGGUAACUGAACUCUGUAGUGCUCUUUCAACUCACUGCCUGGUAGCACUGUGAAUUCUCCUCAGCAAAAGUACCACUUUAAUAUAUCUCUCCUCAUUUCUUAGGACUUCUACUUUUCCAGGUCAUUUUGGGUUUUUCUGUGUGGGAAGGGGGAGUUGGGUUGGAUUGAGUUUUUCAUUUGUUUGCUUUGGUGGCAUUAAUGACUGCAGCA